GUUGCAUUAGAGGGCCAAAUCUGCUUUGGCAUGAAGCCCAUUUAGCAGGCUCGUCUGUGUCUGCAGUCUUCUCGCUGCCGAAGGAGAUUUGUCCUGCAAUUCUUCUG